rnacentral:rRNA from 1 species
UACGUAGGGUGCGAGCGUUGUCCGGAAUUAUUGGGCGUAAAGAGCUCGUAGGCGGUUUGUCGCGUCGACUGUGAAAACCCGAGGCUUAACCUCGGGCCUGCAGUCGAUACGGGCAGACUAGAGUUCGGUAGGGGAGACUGGAAUUCCUGGUGUAGCGGUGAAAUGCGCAGAUAUCAGGAGGAACACCGGUGGCGAAGGCGGAUCUCUGGGCCUUACCUGACGCUCAGGUGCGAAAGCUAGGGGAGCGAACAGG